AAUGAUUUUAUUAUCAUUUAUAGAUGUGUUUCUUUUUAAUAGAUGUAUUUUUAUUAAGGUUUUCUCUGUAAUAGUAAACAAACUAUGUUUUGCAUUCUUUCUUUUAGCCACAUAGAUAGGAGAAGAGCACAAGCUGUACUUUGUGGUUUUGACACCUCCACCUCCAGUUCAGGGUGGUGGAAAGUUGUUUAUCUGUUUUGAACUCAGCUCUUACCUAUGUCUGGUUUUUUGGAUGUUUUCAGAUGUGUGUGUGUAUGUGUUAAAAAUCCAUGACGUAUGUUGUCUUGCACUUAUCUUUUUUGGGUGUCAACCCAUCUAAUAAAAUGAGCUUGCAGACAAAGAAUCAGAGAGAGACAGCUUGAGCAUUUCUUGAGGAGAAAUCUCUCUGGUUCUUUCCCUCGUGAGUUUUAAACCUUUAUUCUUGGUCUGACGUGUCUUAAUUUUGUUAAGGUAUAAGUUGAAUAAACCUAACAUUUUGGUCCUUCGAGCCGGAUUCCAACAUACCCAGAGAUCUGCAGUGGAGGAGACAAGCCGAAGCCCGACGUCGGCCGAAUUCGUCUAAGAGUUCGAAGCAAAGCCCUGGGAGGUGAGAAUUCCUCGCCAGGCCGGCAUUUAGGUUUCCUCUGCUGAUGAUCCCGGAUUGACGGAAUUCGAAGCAAGACACAAAUCAGGCGCAGUGAAUUGGGUAAGUUGCUUUAUUGGUAUUUUAAUUGGUGGUUAGAGGCCCCAAUAAUCGUGGGUUAGAGGCCCCGGGAACUGUUGAACAGCUGAGGGUUAGAUGCCCAAGAUGCUGAAUUGGUGGUUAGAGUCCCCAAUGUUUCUGGGUUAGAGUCCCAAAUAACAGUCGAACAGCCAGAGGGUUAGAGUCCCCAAGAGCUAAAAUCCCGAAAUUUUUUAUUUUACUGUAGUGAAGUGGUUAUUCUGUUGUUUUUUUUUUUUUUUUUAAGGGAAUCCUGAAGUAUUACCCUGUUGAUAGUAAAUCCUGAAGUAUUUACUGAAUGUUGUAAACCCAGAAGUGUUUACUGAGAAAUUGUUGAGAAUAAACCCUGAAGUGUUUAUUCUACUGUAUUUUUGCUGUGUUUUUGCUGCGUUAUUUGCUGUGUAUAUGUUUGUGAUGUGCUCAGUGUGCUGGAAAUCUAGCAGUGUUAACAAACCAGUUGUACGCUGAAGUAGGCACAUUGAGUGAUUUUUUUUUAUCUCUGAAUAGAAAAUUUUAUUGUUGCAUUGUUGUAUUGCAAUUUGAAUCCCCGGGGAUCGCUAAUUGUAUGUGUUUGAUCGAAUAAUAGGUUAUGAUUCUGAAUAAUUUAGGAUCGCUAAUGAUUUUAGAUUGGGUAAUAAUUUGUGAUUGCUAAGAAUUUAUGAUUGCUAAUAAUUUGUGACUGCGUGGAUCGAGUAAUAAUUUGAGAAAAUUAGAAAUUGUUGUGGAUGUUUUAAGAAUGAUAAAUAAUUAAUAUAGUGUAUACUAAUAUAUAAUAUAUAGUAUAGAAUAUUUCAGAAUGUAAAAUCAGAAUGUGAGGUAUAUGAAGAAGUCCAAAAAGUUUGUUGAAAAUUUAGAGAUGAAAGCAAUGUUUAAAACAGGAAAAGUCAAACCAGAACGAGAAAUAUUAAGUGCAAGAGAAUGGUUUGAAGGAAGUGUUAGAAGACAAGAAGGUAUAAACAGAAAAAAGUAUAGAAUAAUGCAUAAAAGUUUAAAAAUUAUGGUGGUGUGUAGACAGGAAAAUAAUAAAACAACCCCUGUAGUACGCACAACGGCGAUGGAGCCAGAUCCAAUCCCGUCCCCUGAAGCCUUAGCACAUGUUAUAUAUCAAUCACAUGCAGGGGCAAGAGUAGAUUUAGACAAAAUUAUUAAAAGAGCUCCCCAGUAUUAUAAUACCAUAACAGCGUGGCUCAGCAGAAGAGUAACAUGAUCAACACAUUUAAAGAUGUGAGAAAUCUAGAGGAAGCACAAGAUCUUUUGCAAAUAGUUGCAUUAAAAGAGGAAGUUCAGUGGACAAUGAAAGUGAAUGGUGCUUUCGAUAAGAUCAAACAAGAAUUAGUUUCUUCCACUGUGUUUAGCUUUAAUUGAUUGCACUAAACAAUUUGUGCAAAUCGUAGUUGAAAAAUGAAAUUAAUGGCUUCUGUGUUGUUACAAAAGCAUGGCACAAAGUUAGGACCUGUAGAUUUUUAUUCUAAGAAGUUAAAUAUGGUAUGGUAUACCAGCACUACCACCCUGUACAAGCAGUUUGUGAAGCAGCAAUGGGUGUAGAAGUAUCAGCUGAAAUUAUUUUAUUUCACCAUUUGACAUUUUUAAUUACAUGUGUUGUAGAUAUUUUACUUUUAAAAACCUAAACUGAAGUUCUUAUCACAUGGUCGACAUAUGUCUUGUAUGACCGUGCUAAUCUCACAACCACACAUUCCCAUUCAGAGGUGUAAUAUACUAAACCCAGCAAUUGUAGGAGAACCUCGUUGUUGUAUUGAACUAACAGAUCAAUGGGUUUUGGCCAGACCAGAUCUAAAAGACCAACCAUUAGAAAAAGGAGAAGUGUGGUUUGUAGAUGGUUCGUGUUAUAAAGAUAGCGCAGGUAAAACUAUCACAGGAUAUGCUGUGGUUAGCUCAGAUCGAAUUAUAAAAACCAGACAGUUGCUAAAUAAACAUUCAGCACAAGCUGCAGAGAAAUAAUAGCUUUGAAAAGAGCAUGUCUUUUGGAAAAAAGGCCAAUCAUUAACUGUCCAACCAGUUAUAAGAAGCAGCUGUCCAGCAAGGUGACUACAUCUUAAUCAAAGUAAUCAAACGAAAAACUGGUACAGCUCGAAGUGGGAAGGAUCUUAUCAAGUUCUUAUAACCACACCAACAGCAGUAAAGAUUGCAGAAAGACCUUCGUGGAUACAUCUCAGCCACAUCAAGAAACAGUUGGUUUGUUCUGUUCAGGACAGUGAAGUUGUUGUUUAGUUAAUCUAGGUAAGAGAAGUGUUGGUAAGUGAGUGGACCCGGAAGACUGUUUUUGUGACCCCUGUUUAUUUUUCACGGGAGCAAGGGAAGUUUAACCUAGAAGAUAUUGUAGGUAAAAUUAGUUAGCACUGUCCUGUCUACACAGAACAGAAGAAAUGGCUGAUUUUCUGAAAAUAAUCAUUGUGUGUGAUUCUAGCAACCAUGCUGGUGUGUGAGACCCCGCCUGGCUGGAUGAAGCAAGAGAAGCAGGAUGAGCUUAAGAGGAAGGAGAGAGGCAAGUGGCAGCAGAUUAAAGAAGGAAAGUAUCAGAACACCUACGAGAUCAACAUGUGGUAUCGGUAUGCAAAGUACACGGCUUUAAGUAGAAACCACACAAACUGUUAUGUCUGUUGAAAAAAGCCCAAGUCAGGAAUGAAUCUGCAUGUAGUUCCUGAACCCGUGAUAGAUGUUUCUGUCCGGUUUCCUAAAUGUCUGGUAUCAGCUUAUUCACUGCAGUUUCUUAACAUGACUUUGCAAAACCGCCUGCCACCUCCUGUGGAUAUUAAGAAACUGACUUUUAAGAACUUUAUGAGCCUACUGUUUAAUGUUAGUGAUAAAAUGUACGUUCCAGUCCACGUUCCUCCAAGUGCACAAUUUAUUUGUUAUGAGAACACUGUGACUUUGGGAGACGAGAUUUAUCUUGGAAAAGUGCCCAAACAGAACUGUAAGCGCAUAUUCAUGCCUUGUACUAAAAAUCAAACAGGACAUUUUAGACAAUCGAAGCUAACAGAGGAGUUGUAUGUACAAAUUAUUUCAACGCACCCAAUGCCAUGGGAACCACCCCACAGAUGAACUUUGUGUGGUUGUGUGGCUUAGACAUUUAUCAUCAUCUUUCUACUGGGUGGAAGGGCCGGUGUGCCCCGCCCUGCCAACAGAUCACUCUUUCAUCAUCACCGCGAAGGAAGCUCAACAUCGCACCAAACGAGAUCUCUACAAGAAACAGGACUCCCUGUGGGGAGCGGAUGUACCCAACGACCACAAGCUAUGGUCCAACGGUCAGAAAGUUGGACUUGCUCUUUUUCCUUGGCUAGGAACUGGAAAACUUAUGCUGAGAAUGGAAACCAUUGACUGUCGAUUUGAGGUAUUUCUUAAUAGUACCACGGCAGCAUUGAAAGAUAUCAAAGAAGAAUUAACAGCCUAUGUAUGAUGGACAAACGGGCCAUUAACAACCUCACCAUGCUUCGUGAAGCCGUUGAGAAAGACUAUGUUACAGCUAAUGGUGUCUCCAAAUGGUUGUUUGGAGGGUUGUCGGGGAAACGCCUUUUGAAAGUGUGUGUUGUUCCUGAUUUGCAUGUAUCUGAGCUGUGUGUUACCCUGUGUUAUGUAAUUAAUGAGAAAAAUUAUUCAUUCUAUGUUUUCAGACGUGUAUUUUAUGGGAAACUUUGCAGUGAAUGAUGAUUAUGAAGUAUUUUCACGAGUCAAUACUUCAGUUAAAACUGAUACAAUGAUAUAAUGUUUUUGUUUGCUAUGCUAUUAUUUUUUCCUAUUAAAGAUAGUUGAUUAAUAAAGUACAUUAGAAGGUAGCGGGGUGUAACUGAAAAAGAAACAGGAUAAAUGAUAAACAGGAGGGAAUGUUGGAGAAAAUGAUUUUAUUAUCAUUUAUAGAUGUGUUUCUUUUUAAUAGAUGUAUUUUUAUUAAGGUUUUCUCUGUAAUAGUAAACAAACUAUGUUUUGCAUUCUUUCUUUUAGCCACAUAGAUAGGAGAAGAGCACAAGCUGUACUUUGUGGUUUUGACACCUCCACCUCCAGUUCAGGGUGGUGGAAAGUUGUUUAUCUGUUUUGAACUCAGCUCUUACCUAUGUCUGGUUUUUUGGAUGUUUUCAGAUGUGUGUGUGUAUGUGUUAAAAAUCCAUGACGUAUGUUGUCUUGCACUUAUCUUUUUGGGUGUCAACCCAUCUUAUAAAAAGAGCUUGCAGACAAAGAAUCGGAGAGAGACAGCUUGAGCAUUUCUUGAUGAGAAAUCUCUCUGGUUCUUUCCCUCGCGAGUGAUUUAAACCUGAA